GUAUGUGAAAGUGAAUAGAAUGUUGACUUUGGAAUGGCUAGAAGCAUUAAAACAAGACUGAAAACACAC
rfam:Equus caballus chromosome 16, whole genome shotgun sequence.